rnacentral:lncRNA from 1 species
CAGCGUAGUGCGUGAGUACUUAAACGAGCAGUUCGGGAGUUGGUGGAUCGGUCGAGGCGGCCCCGUGGCAUGGCAUGGAUCUCACGCCAUUGGACUUUUUUUUAUGGAGUGAAAUUAAACGACGAGUGUACGUUAGUGAGCCUACAAGUGUAGAACAAUUUAAACAGCGCAUACUGAACGCGUUUGACGAAGUAAAAAGUAAACGAGACAUACUUUUAUCAUUAAAAAACAAUUUAAUUAAACGUGCUCGUGUUUGUGUUGAAAAUGGUAGUGGACAUUUUGAAGGACAGCUAAAAUAUCUUGAUUAAGGUUAGGUACCUUACCGAAAAAGCCAAAAAUGACAUACAAAAUAGUGCAGACAAUAGAGUCUGGUUAUUGUACCUUCUUUCUGGGAAGACAAAGGAAAAUUGUGGUGGCCGCCAAA